rnacentral:rRNA from 1 species
UGAACGCUGGCGGCAUGCUCACAGAUUCUAGUCGAACGGCAGCAUGACUUAGCUUGCUAGGUUGAUGGCGAGUGGCGAACGUAGUAACGCGUAGGAAUAUACCCUGAAGUGGGGGAUAACCUGGGAAACUCGGCUAAUACCGCAUAAUGUCUGAGGACGAAAGCUGGGGACCUUCGGGCCUGGUGCUUUAGGAAUAGCCUGCGUCCGAUUAGCUAGUUGGUGGGGUAAAGGCCUACCAAUGCUGUGAUCGGUAGCUGGUCUGAGAGGACGAACAGCCACACUGGGACUGAGACACGGACCAGACUCCUACGGGAGGCAGCAGUAAGGAAUAUUGGUCAAUGGACGCAAGUCUGAACCAGCCAUGCCGCGUGAAGGAUGAAGGCCUUCUGGGUUGUAAACUUCUUUUAUCUGGGAAGAAACCUCCGAUUUCUAUUGGAGUUGACGGUCCAGAGGAUAAGCACGGCUACUCCGUGCCAGCAGCCAGGCUAAACGGAGGGUGCCAGCGUAAUCCGCAUUCACUCGGUUUAAAUGGUGCG